rnacentral:tRNA from 1 species
UCCGGCGUGGUCUAGUGGCUAGGAUAUCUGGCUUUCACCCAGAAGGCCCGGUUCGAUUCCCGGCGUCGGAA